rnacentral:misc_RNA from 1 species
AACAUAGUGUUACUAUGUGUUGGAG